UACGUAGGGGGCAAGCGUUGUCCGGAAUCAUUGGGCGUAAAGCGCGUGUAGGCGGCCCAGUAAGUCCGCUCUGAAAGCCCGGGGCUUAACCCCGGGAGGCGGGUGGAUACUGCUGGGCUCGAGUCCGGAAGAGGCGAGUGGAAUUCCCGGUGUAGCGGUGAAAUGCGCAGAUAUCGGGAGGACACCAAUGGCGAAGGCAGCUCGCUGGGACGUGACUGACGCUGAGACGCGAAAGCGUGGGGAGCAAACAGG
rnacentral:rRNA from 1 species